rnacentral:rRNA from 1 species
CUACGGGAGGCACCAGUGGGGAAUAUUGGACAAUGGGCGCAAGCCUGAUCCAGCAAUGCCGCGUGAGUGAAGACGGCCUUAGGGUUGUAAAACUCUUUCGCUAGGGAAGAUAAUGACUGUACCUAGUAAAGAAGUCCCGGCUAACUCCGUGCCAGCAGCCGCGGUAAUACGGAGGGGACUAGCGUUGUUCGGAAUUACUGGGCGUAAAGAGUUCGUAGGCGGACUGACAAGUUAGAGGUGAAAUCCCAGGGCUCAACCCUGGAACUGCCUUUAAAACUGUCAGUCUAGAGACCGGAAGAGGUUAGGGGAAUACCUAGUGUAGAGGUGAAAUUCGUAGAUAUUAGGUGGAACACCAGUGGCGAAGGCGCCUAACUGGUCCGGUACUGACGCUGAGGAACGAAAGCGUGGGGAGCAAACAGGAUUAGAUACCCCGGUAGUC